CGGGCAGGUGCCUAGCGGCCGAGGCGCCCGCCUGGAAAAGUGGGUAGACGGCGCAGGUUCGAAUCCUGCCUGUCC
rnacentral:tRNA from 1 species